rnacentral:rRNA from 1 species
GGGGAAUAUUGGACAAUGGGCGCAAGCCUGAUCCAGCCAUGCCGCGUGAGUGAUGAAGGCCCUAGGGUUGUAAAGCUCUUUUGGCGGGGAAGAUAAUGACGGUACCCGCAGAAUAAGCCCCGGCUAACUUCGUGCCAGCAGCCGCGGUAAUACGAAGGGGGCUAGCGUUGCUCGGAAUCACUGGGCGUAAAGCGCACGUAGGCGGAUUCUUAAGUCAGAGGUGAAAGCCUGGAGCUCAACUCCAGAACUGCCUUUGAUACUGGGAGUCUCGAGUUCGGGAGAGGUGAGUGGAACUGCGAGUGUAGAGGUGAAAUUCGUAGAUAUUCGCAAGAACACCAGUGGCGAAGGCGGCUCACUGGCCCGAUACUGACGCUGAGGUGCGAAAGCGUGGGGAGCAAAC